rnacentral:rRNA from 1 species
GGAGUCUGGGCCGUGUCUCAGUCCCAAUGUGGCCGUUCGUCCUCUCAGACCGGCUACGCAUCAUCGCUAUGGUGGGCCAUUACCCCGCCAUCUGGCUAAUGCGCCACAGGCCCCUCCUUAAGUAGAUUGCUCUUUUAAACAUCUAAUCAUGUGAUUUGUGAUGUCCUAUCCAGUUUUAUCUUCCAUUUCUAGAAGCUAUCCUCGUCUUAAGGACAGGUUACCUAUGUAUUACUCACCCGUUCGCCACUGGAGUGCAAGCACUCCCGUUCGACUUGCAUGUAUUAGGCAUGCCGCCAGCGUUCAUC